rnacentral:rRNA from 1 species
UACGGGGGGGGCAAGCGUUGUUCGGAAUUACUGGGCGUAAAGGGCCCGUAGGCGGCCAACUAAGUCAGACGUGAAAUCCCUCGGCUUAACCGGGGAACUGCGUCUGAUACUGGAUGGCUUGAAUCCGGGAGAGGGAUGCGGAAUUCCAGGUGUAGCGGUGAAAUGCGUAGAUAUCUGGAGGAACACCGGUGGCGAAGGCGGCAUCCUGGACCGGCAUUGACGCUGAGGAGCGAAAGCCAGGGGAGCAAACGGG